rnacentral:sRNA from 1 species
CGCCUAAACCCAGUAGUUCUUAUUGGGCAUGGCAUCAAAUCCUAGUGAAUAUUAACGGGCUUCUGCUCGGUCCUAUUCACUAGGUCUAUGCUCGAAAGGGUGUAGGACGGCUCGAAAGAGCUGUC